AUUUAAGUGAAGUUAAAAAGCAUGAAUCUUCUACUUAUAAACCUAUCAAAAUAAUCUUACUUAUUACAUGGAAAGGAGGAAAAAUAUGAUUCAAAUUCUCAUAUUUGUUUAUGCUUUGAUCAUCUUUAUUUCUCUAUUUCUUGUUGUAACUAGUGAAACUCACAUUCCUUGUGUUCAUCAUGAUGAUUGCCCAAAGAGGCCUUAUCCUCGAUUUAUGAAGUGUGUUGAUAAUUUUUGUGAGACAUGGAUAAUAGGUUGGGAAUAAGUCAUGCCCGCUGAUAGUAAUCUACAACCUAGCCUACAAUCAUGACUAUGCCAAUAUUUUUUUAAAAUAGAAAAGACAUAGACUCUUUUAGAAGCUUGUUUAUCUAAAAAGGUCAAGCUAUGAGCCUUAAGAAAAGCCUUUUAGGUCGAGCAACUAAAGUAGAUAUGAAUAAUAUUUUUUUAUUACUAUUAUUAUUAUUUUUAUUUUGAUUAAAUUAUAAAUUUUGUUAAUUAUUUUAGUA